rnacentral:rRNA from 1 species
GAUGAACGCUGGCGGCGUGCCUAAUACAUGCAAGUCGAGCGAACGGACGAGAAGCUUGCUUCUCUGAUGUUAGCGGCGGACGGGUGAGUAACACGUGGAUAACCUACCUAUAAGACUGGGAUAACUUCGGGAAACCGGAGCUAAUACCGGAUAAUAUUUUGAACCGCAUGGUUCAAAAGUGAAAGACGGUCUUGCUGUCACUUAUAGAUGGAUCCGCGCUGCAUUAGCUAGUUGGUAAGGUAACGGCUUACCAAGGCAACGAUGCAUAGCCGACCUGAGAGGGUGAUCGGCCACACUGGAACUGAGACACGGUCCAGACUCCUACGGGAGGCAGCAGUAGGGAAUCUUCCGCAAUGGGCGAAAGCCUGACGGAGCAACGCCGCGUGAGUGAUGAAGGUCUUCGGAUCGUAAAACUCUGUUAUUAGGGAAGAACAUAUGUGUAAGUAACUGUGCACAUCUUGACGGUACCUAAUCAGAAAGCCACGGCUAACUACGUGCCAGCAGCCGCGGUAAUACGUAGGUGGCAAGCGUUAUCCGGAAUUAUUGGGCGUAAAGCGCGCGUAGGCGGUUUUUUAAGUCUGAUGUGAAAGCCCACGGCUCAACCGUGGAGGGUCAUUGGAAACUGGAAAACUUGAGUGCAGAAGAGGAAAGUGGAAUUCCAUGUGUAGCGGUGAAAUGCGCAGAGAUAUGGAGGAACACCAGUGGCGAAGGCGACUUUCUGGUCUGUAACUGACGCUGAUGUGCGAAAGCGUGGGGAUCAAACAGGAUUAGAUACCCUGGUAGUCCACGCCGUAAACGAUGAGUGCUAAGUGUUAGGGGGUUUCCGCCCCUUAGUGCUGCAGCUAACGCAUUAAGCACUCCGCCUGGGGAGUACGACCGCAAGGUUGAAACUCAAAGGAAUUGACGGGGACCCGCACAAGCGGUGGAGCAUGUGGUUUAAUUCGAAGCAACGCGAAGAACCUUACCAAAUCUUGACAUCCUCUGACCCCUCUAGAGAUAGAGCCUUCCCCUUCGGGGGACAAAGUGACAGGUGGUGCAUGGUUGUCGUCAGCUCGUGUCGUGAGAUGUUGGGUUAAGUCCCGCAACGAGCGCAACCCUUAAGCUUAGUUGCCAUCAUUAAGUUGGGCACUCUAAGUUGACUGCCGGUGACAAACCGGAGGAAGGUGGGGAUGACGUCAAAUCAUCAUGCCCCUUAUGAUUUGGGCUACACACGUGCUACAAUGGACAAUACAAAGGGCAGCGAAACCGCGAGGUCGAGCAAAUCCCAUAAAGUUGUUCUCAGUUCGGAUUGUAGUCUGCAACUCGACUACAUGAAGCUGGAAUCGCUAGUAACCGUAGAUCAGCAUGCUACGGUGAAUACGUUCCCGGGUCU